AUGCUCAGCACCUCUGUCGUCGCGGCUGUCGUGCGCGCGCAGCCUAGGGACUUCUGCGUCAUCAAGCAGGAGUGGACUGUCGUCCGCAUCCAGUUCGCCUCCUUGCAUUCCUGAGGAAAUGACCCGGAUGAUGAUCUGUGUCUUAUGGAUCCAGAUGGCAACAAUCUGAAACCUGGUGGUUCGGAGUUCUGUGCAUCACAAGAGGCAUUUAGGUCGAUCUCACUCUUCUUCGAGUUUAUGCGCGCUGCCCAGGACAACAUCACAGCGCUGAUGGAGUUGGACGGUGUCAUCAGGCUCGACUGGAUCUAG
rnacentral:misc_RNA from 1 species